CUAAUUUUUUUGUCCUUUGGAGGUGGUUCUGCUAUUUAAUUAAUUGUUGUGAUGUUUUAUGCAAAUAGAUUUAGCUCACAUUCAUGUUGGUCUGUCAGGGUUAGGUAAAAAUAAAAAAUUCCGUUUCUUAUAGCUGACUUGAUUAUGGCUAACCUAAAGCGUAAUAUUUAUGAAACAAUGAUUCAAUUUAAAUUGUAUUAUAAGUAGCUCUGUUGAAUAAAAUUUUUUUUUGUAA